UUUUAAACUUGUUAAAUGACACCUUCAUGUCACAACUUGUACAAGCACCAGCUAGAAUGGACGCUUGUCUGGACCUGGUUUUAACAAACAACGUUGAUCUUUUGACCAACAUUCAAGUAGGUGAGCACUUGGGAAAUAGUGAUCACAAUAUAGUGUCCUUUGAAAUAAACUCAAAAAAACAGAAGCACAUGGGGUAUACUAAAACAUAUAAUUUUAAAAAGGCCAAUUUCAAUAAGUUAAG